rnacentral:rRNA from 1 species
UACGGGGUGCAGCAGGCGCGAAACCUUUACACUGCACGACAGUGCGAUAGGGGGAUCCCAAGUGCACAGGCAUAGCGCCUGUGCUUUUCGGUACCCUAAAGGCGGUACCAGAAUAAGGGCUGGGCAAGACCGGUGCCAGCCGCCGCGGUAAUACCGGCAGCCCAAGUGAUGGCCGAUCUUAUUGGGCCUAAAGCGUCCGUAGCUGGCCACGCAAGUCCAUCGGGAAAUCCACCUGCCCAACAGGUGGACGCCCGGUAGAAACUGCGUGGCUUGGGACCGGAAGGCGCGACGGGUACGUCCGGGGUAGGAGUGAAAUCCCGUAAUCCUGGACGGACCGCCGAUGGCGAAAGCACGUCGCGAGAACGGAUCCGACAGUGAGGGACGAAAGCCAGGGUCUCGAACCGGAUUAGAUACCCGGGUAGUCCUGGCCGUAAACAAUGCCUGCUAGGUGUGGCUCCCACUACGAGUGGGUGCUGUGCCGUAGGGAAGCCGCUAAGCAGGCCGCCUGGAA